rnacentral:rRNA from 1 species
GGAUUAGAUACCCUGGUAGUCCACGCCGUAAACGAUGUCUACUAGCAGCUCGCCUCGUUAGAGGGGUUUUGCGCAGCUAACGCGUUAAGUAGACCGCCUGGGGAGUACGGCCGCAAGGUUAAAACUCAAAUGAAUUGACGGGGGCCCGCACAAGCGGUGGAGCAUGUGGUUUAAUUCGAUGCAACGCGAAGAACCUUACCAUCCCUUGACAUCCAGAGAAGUUUCUAGAGAUAGAUUCGUGCCUUCGGGAACUCUGAGACAGGUGCUGCAUGGCUGUCGUCAGCUCGUGCCG